rfam:Cylindrobasidium torrendii FP15055 ss-10 unplaced genomic scaffold CYLTOscaffold_95, whole genome shotgun sequence.
UCCGAUAUGGUGUAGUGGCUAACAUUAUCGCCUCUCACGCGAUAGCCCGGGGUUCAAUUCCCCGUGUCGGAA